CAGGGCAUUACAAACCUCCAGACACAACUACAAGCUGUGAAGACACUGGUGGAACAACUUGUAAGAAGACAACAUAUUCCAGUUUUCCAUGUUCAUUCAUCUGAGGGCCAUUACAAACUUUCCUUCGACCAAGCCAAACAGAUGUGCAUUGAACAUGGUGCCAAAAUCGCAACACCAAACCAAAUAUGUGCUGCAUGGGAAGAUGGGCUAGAUGUCUGCGCAUGGGGCUGGGUGUCUGAUCAGAAAGUGUACCUUCCCAUCCGUUACCCUAGACCUGGCUGUGGGAGUCGCAGAGAACUGUUAUCUUCACAGAAAAAUGCUGACUUCAAGUCAGAUGUUUAUUGUUUCAAGUAGAUACUUGAAUAUGAAUGUACUACAUAAUAUUAUGUAAAACUAUUCUUUUUAAGCAGCCAAAAUAUUGCUAAAUAAAUAGUAGAUUUUUUGGU
rnacentral:lncRNA from 1 species